AUGCAGGUUCUAUUUUAUUCUUCUGAGACAUAUGAUGGUAGCAUUGAGAAUGAGAAAUCUUUGCAAAAUGCACGUAUUAUUAAGGAGUUCUGGAACGAUUACUACGCUAAGCUGUUGGAUAUUGACAAAACGAAAAAGACUUCUAAUGUUGAUAUGUAUCAGGAUGAUGUUAGAAAGUUGUUGAUUAAUGAAAAGAAGAAUCAAAAUGGUGUGUUUUCUGAUACUGAAUUAAUAGAUUUACAGAAUCAAAUUGCAAAUUGCACAAUGAAGUUUGAUGAGGAUAAUCUAUUUAAAGUAACUCCUAACAUAGUAAAGUUCUUGAUUAAUAAAGAUCAGCCUAACGCUAAGCAAUAUCUAAAGGGUUGCCUACCAAGUAGCUUACCUAUGCUUAAGAUGUUUGGUAUCUAUACGCUUGAGGCUAUCAUGAUUCAUGUACUAGGCUUGGUAUUCAACACUCUUCAGGAAUCAUCCGCAGUUAAGGCAGCUAGAUUUAUAGAUCAACUUAAUUCAACUGUACGAGAACGAGCAAGGUUUCUACAAUACAAAGCACCAGGUAGUGGUAAGGUGGAAGCAGUACUCACUAGUAAGGUAGAAUCAGUUAAGGAUGUGGUUCAGCCCAAAGGUGCUAGCAAAAAAGAGAAAAAGAAAAAAUCCAGUGUCAUUAUGAUAUCGGGAAAUACUUGCUCCAAUUCAUGA
rnacentral:rRNA from 1 species